AGUGAACGCUGGCGGUAGGCCUAACACAUGCAAGUCGAACGGCAGCACAGUAAGAGCUUGCUCUUACGGGUGGCGAGUGGCGGACGGGUGAGGAAUACAUCGGAAUCUACUUUUUCGUGGGGGAUAACGUAGGGAAACUUACGCUAAUACCGCAUACGACCUACGGGUGAAAGCAGGGGAUCUUCGGACCUUGCGCGAUUGAAUGAGCCGAUGUCGGAGUAGCUAGUUGGCGGGGUAAAGGCCCACCAAGGCGACGAUCCGUAGCUGGUCUGAGAGGAGGGUCAGCCACACUGGAACUGAGACACGGUCCAGACGCCUACGGGAGGCAGCAGUGGGGAAUAUUGGACAAUGGGCGCAAGCCUGAUCCAGCCAUACCGCGUGGGUGAAGAAGGCCUUCGGGUUGUAAAGCCCUUUUGUUGGGAAAGAAAAGCAGCAGGUUAAUACCCCGCUGUUCUGACGGUACCCAAAGAAUAAGCACCGGCUAACUUCGUG
rnacentral:rRNA from 1 species